rnacentral:rRNA from 1 species
CCUACGGGCGGCUGCAGUAAGGAAUAUUGGGCAAUGGAGGCAACUCUGACCCAGCCAUGCCGCGUGCAGGAAGACGGCCCUACGGGUUGUAAACUGCUUUUAAUAGGGAGUAAAAUCAGCUACGUGUAGUUGAUUGCAAGUACCUAUAGAAUAAGCAUCGGCUAACUCCGUGCCAGCAGCCGCGGUAAUACGGAGGAUGCAAGCGUUAUCCGGAUUUAUUGGGUUUAAAGGGUGCGCAGGCGGACUAAUAAGUCAGUGGUGAAAUUUACAUGCUUAACAUGUAUCGUGCCAUUGAUACUGUUAGACUAGUAUACAAAUGACGUAGCUGGAAUGUGUUAUGUAGCGGUGAAAUGCAUAGAUAUAACACAGAACACCGAUCGUGAAGACAGGUUACGAAUUUGUUAUAGACGCUCAGGCACGAAAGCGUGGGGAUCAAACAGGAUUAGAUACCCCGGUAGUC